rnacentral:rRNA from 1 species
AACGAACGCUGGCGGCAUGCCUAACACAUGCAAGUCGAACGAGACCUUCGGGUCUAGUGGCGCACGGGUGCGUAACGCGUGGGAACCUGCCCUUAGGUUCGGAAUAACUCCCCGAAAGAGGUGCUAAUACCGGAUAAUGUCUUCGGACCAAAGAUUUAUCGCCUUUGGAUGGGCCCGCGUUGGAUUAGCUAGUUGGUAGGGUAAAAGCCUACCAAGGCGACGAUCCAUAGCUGGUCUGAGAGGAUGAUCGGCCACACUGGGACUGAGACACGGCCCAGACUCCUACGGGAGGCAGCAGUGGGGAAUAUUGGACAAUGGGCGAAAGCCUGAUCCAGCAAUGCCGCGUGAGUGAUGAAGGCCUUAGGGUUGUAAAGCUCUUUUACCCGGGAUGAUAAUGACAGUACCGGGAGAAUAAGCUCCGGCUAACUCCGUG